rnacentral:ncRNA from 1 species
UUAAUUUGACUCAACACGGGGAAACUCACCAGGUCCAGACACAAUGAGGAUUGACAGAUUGAGAGCUCUUUCUUGAUUUUGUGGGUGGUGGUGCAUGGCCGUUCUUAGUUGGUGGAGUGAUUUGUCUGCUUAAUUGCGAUAACGAACGAGACCUUAACCUGCUAAAGCUGGCGCAGGGAGGUGCGGCCUGCACGCUCCUGCGCCCCGGCUU